GAUGAACGCUGGCGGCGUGCCUAAUACAUGCAAGUCGAGCGAACGGACGAGAAGCUUGCUUCUCUGAUGUUAGCGGCGGACGGGUGAGUAACACGUGGAUAACCUACCUAUAAGACUGGGAUAACUUCGGGAAACCGUAGCUAAUACCGGAUAAUAUUUUGAACCGCAUUGUUCAAAAGUGAAAGACGGUCUUGCUGUCACUUAUAGAUGGAUCCGCGCUGCAUUAGCUAGUUGGUAAGGUAACGGCUUACCAAGGCAACGAUGCAUAGCCGACCUGAGAGGGUGAUAGGCCACACUGGAACUGAGCCACGGUCCAGACUCCUACGGGAGGCAGCAGUAGCGAAUCUUCCGCCAUGGGCGAAAGACUGACGGAGCAACGCCGCGUGAGUGAUGAAGGUCUUCGGCUCGUAAAACUCUGUUAUUAGGGAAGAACAUAUGUGUAAGUAACUGUGCACAUCUUGACGGUACCUAAUCAGAAAGCCACGGCUAACUACGUG
rnacentral:rRNA from 1 species